AGGGGACCCGCACAAGCGGUGGAUGAUGUGGAUUAAUUCGAUGCAACGCGAAGAACCUUACCUACCCUUGACAUGUCCGGAACUUGCCAGAGAUGGCUUGGUGCCCGAAAGGGAAUCGGAACACAGGUGCUGCAUGGCUGUCGUCAGCUCGUGUCGUGAGAUGUUGGGUUAAGUCCCGCAACGAGCGCAACCCUUAUCAUUAGUUGCUACGCAAGGGCACUCUAAUGAGACUGCCGGUGACAAACCGGAGGAAGGUGGGGAUGACGUCAAGUCCUCAUGGCCCUUAUGGGUAGGGCUUCACACGUCAUACAAUGGUCGGUACAGAGGGUUGCCAAGCCGCGAGGCGGAGCCAAUCCCACAAAGCCGAUCGUAGUCCGGAUUGUUCUCUGCAACUCGAGAGCAUGAAGUCGGAAUCGCUAGUAAUCGCAGGUCAGCAUACUGCGGUGAAUACGUUCCCGGGUCUU
rnacentral:rRNA from 1 species